rnacentral:rRNA from 1 species
AACGAACGCUGGCGGCAUGCCUAACACAUGCAAGUCGAACGAGACCUUCGGGUCUAGUGGCGCACGGGUGCGUAACGCGUGGGAACCUGCCCUUAGGUUCGGAAUAACUCCCCGAAAGGGGUGCUAAUACCGGAUAAUGUCUUCGGACCAAAGAUUUAUCGCCUUUGGAUGGGCCCGCGUUGGAUUAGCUAGUUGGUAGGGUAAAAGCCUACCAAGGCGACGAUCCAUAGCUGGUCUGAGAGGAUGAUCAGCCACACUGGGCCUGAGACACGGCCCAGACCCCCAGGGGGGAAAGAGGGGGGGAAUAUUGAAGAAGGGGAAAAGCCUGGAGCAACCAGUCCCGCGGAGGUAAGGAAGGCUUUAGGGUAGAAAACUUUUUUUCCCGGGGAUGAAAAUGACAUACCGGGGGAAAAAAGCCCCGUCUACCCCGGUG